CGACGAGCUGGCCGACGCCCUCGCGGCGGCGCUUCAGCCGCGCCUCACGGCGCUGCGCGGGCAGGUCGCCGAGCUCGACGCGCGGCUUGCCGCC
rnacentral:tRNA from 1 species